CGGUCCUCCGCCAUUGAAAACCGGCCCGGCCGACUUGAACCGCGGCUCGCGCGCCUCGAUCGGAUUCCCUCGAGUGGGAGCGAAUCGAGUAACGGAGCGGCGAGGCCGUCGGCCGCUGUCCCGCUCGUCUCACCGUGCCGCGCGCUGCCCAUCCCGCCGCCGGCUCCCUCCGGCUCACCUCCUUCGCUGCGGCCGCAGCACUUCUUUCUGGGAUUCCCGCAGCAGCCGGUCGAACUCCACCACGUUCAGGCAGCGAGGGUCACCCUGCGGGGAACGGUAGCACGGCGUGCGGCUGCAGCAGGUUAAGGGUGCUUCACCUUCUCCUCGGUCUCGGGGAAGCAGCUCCUGCGCUGGAUAACAGAAGGAGAGGGCCAAGGCACAGCCAAGAAGUCACAGAGCCAAGUGCUGAUCAGGCUGCGUAGCCCAUUGCUCUGGUCCCAGGUUCUGCAGCACCACUGGUCCCAUCCCUGCUGCUUUACAGGCACAGCAUGUGUCCCAGAGAAAAUUUCCAUCUCCAGAAACAGCAGAGCCCUUCCUGGCACCCAGGAAGGGGACACUGUGCGUCCGACAGGGCCAUGGAGCAGGGCAGGGGCACAGAGGGGUCCUGUCAGUGUUUUCCAGGCAAGCUCAGCAGAGCUGUGGGCUGGUUCAGCAUGCCAUCCCUAAAGCUAGGAAAGCAGCCCUUGGGAUGAAGUCAGAGUGCAUUAUUUCCACCUCUUUGCAGCUGCCAAGAAGAUUCAAGCUUUUCAUCUUUGCUUUCUGGCGCCCAGCAAGGCCAGGCAUGCUCAGCCUGGGGCAGGAUCUGGGCGGCUGUGGAGCAGCCCAGAGUGCCGUGUCCUGUCCCCAGCAGCAGCCAGGCUUGUGGCACGUCAGCACAGUGCUUCUGCAGGGACAACUGGUACUUCCAGAGACUCUAGAAGGGAUUCUGCUGGGAACCAACCCCCUUAUGGAUCCAUUUCAGUCUUUGAAACCUCUUUUCUGUAGCUAAAAACAGCUAAAACCCAGGAGCCUGCACUGAGCUCCUGAGUGCUGCCCUGAGCCCUGCCCCAGGCUGGGUCAGCCUGCAGCUUGGCUGUCCCCAGCUCCUAGGACCCUCUACAGCCUCAGGGCCUCACCAGGAGAGGCGCAAGGGACGGCAGCAGCAAUGUGGUAUCAGGGGACCUUCCCUGUGGCCUGCAGCUCCUGAGGAAGCUUUGCCACCUCCUCCUGGCACAAGAUCGGGGCUGGGCUGGCUGCCUGGGCUGAGUCUUCCUCGCACACCACAUGGCCAGCACCGACCGCCUGUCUAGACGUCAUCCCACACUCAUUAAACAUUCAUUUCCCAUAA